AUGAAUGUUUAUGAGGACGCGCCGUCGGGGAGCAGGAUGGAGAUGUCUGAGUGCGUGAAGACGGAGGACGUGUACCAGACUCUCCACCAUCCUCCUCCAGUGAAGAACCCAAACCCAACACACGAGCCAGUGAGGGGCUGCAGGAUAAAGACUGUGCUGAUGGUCUUCAACACUCUGCUAUUGAUCGUCAUCCUGAUAUUGAUCGGAAUCUUCACUGCAAAUCAAUUACAAAGUGCUGAAGUGAACAAGCCAGAACCACAAAGUGCUGAUGUAAAGGAAACGAAAGCCUCUGGUAAGGACAGUGAGAGAGAGGAGCUGUGGCGUCUCCACGACGAUGUGUUUUAUCUGUUCUGGGAGGCUGAGGGGAACUGCAGCGAGGCCCUGAAGUUCUGUAAAGAUAGAAACUCCGAAAUUGCCACCACUUCAGGCAGGGAUAGAUUUGAUCACUGGAUAUUUCUCGAUGAAUCUUUUCACCACCCUGCAAAUCCUGAUCACGAGGCAAGUGAAUUCUUAAAUCUAGUCGAUGUCUAAUUUCCCUAUUAUGAGAGCACUGACAACAUAAGUUAAUGCAUUUCCAGAUACACUAUAUUUCCAAAAGUAUUCAGUCACCCAUCCAAAUCAAUGAAUUCAGGUGUUCCAACCACUUCCAUGGCCACAGGUGUAUAAAACCAAAAAC
ensembl:lncRNA